rnacentral:lncRNA from 1 species
UCUUAGCGAAGUCUGGGGAUGUAAUAAGCUGCUGCCUGAGGCGUGGUGGUGAGACCCAGAUGCCCCGUCUGUCCAAGUGGUUCAGCCACGGAGCCCACGGCCCAGUUCAGAGGUGAAAGAGAGCCAGACCUGAAUUUGGAAAGACUGAAAUGAUCAGUGUUUACUCAGCACUGCAGGAUUAUGUCCCUGGGACAACCUGUACAGCAAAAAGCUAGUUAAG